rnacentral:rRNA from 1 species
UACGUAGGGCGCGAGCGUUAAUCGGAAUAAUUGGGCGUAAAGAGCGCGCAGGCGGUCGUACAAGUCGCGUGUGAAAGCCCCUGGCUCAACUGGGGAGGGUCACGCGAUACUGUUCGACUUGAAGGCAGGAGAGGGAAGUGGAAUUCCCGGUGUAGUGGUGAAAUGCGUAGAUAUCGGGAGGAACACCAGUGGCGAAGGCGACUUCCUGGCCUGUUCUUGACGCUGAGGCGCGAAAGCUAGGGUAGCAAACGGG